rnacentral:rRNA from 1 species
ACAUCUAAACAGCCUGCCCGAUAUAAAUAACUAGACACAACCACUUUUACCAUCAUCUCUAAAAUAAAAAACUCCUAUUAAAACAAACCAUUUUUCCUCCCAAGUAUGCGCGACAAAAAAGGAACACCGACGCAAUAAAUAUAGUACCGCAAGGGAAAGCUGAAAAACAGGUGAAAUAUUGAAUUAAGACAAAAAAAGCAGCGAUCGCCCCUCGUACCUUUUGCAUCAUGAUUUAGCUAGUAUAAACCAAGCAAAACGCUUUUUACGUUUGACCCCCCGAAACUGGACGAGCUACUCCAAGACAGCCUAAUCAUAGGGCAAACCCGUCUCUGUAGCAAAAGAGUGGGGCGAUCUUUGAGUAGGGGCGACAAGCCUACCGAGCCCAGUGAUAGCUGGUUGCCUGGGAACAGAAUAUAAGUUCAACUCUUUAGCUUCUUUAUUUAAUUAAAAACCAUUUUAAUUACAAUUUGAAGAAUGCUUAAAAAGUUAUUCAAGAAAGGAACAGCUUUCUUGAAAAAAGAAACAACUUUGAUGAAAACUAAAGACUACCCGACCCUAAAGAAAAUAUCAUCACAAGUGGGCCUAAAAGCAGCCACCACAAUAAAAAGCGUUCAAGCUUAAGUCUUAUGACCCUAAAAAUACCAGUAAGUUUUGUCUUAAAUUUCUUAACACUACCAGGUCUAUUUCAUGCAAACAUGAAAGAAACACUGCUAAAACGAGUAAUAAGAGACCCGCUUCUCUCCUAUGCGCUUGCGUACAUCAGGAUGAACCAGUCACUGAAAAUUAACGCCCCCAAUAAAGAGGGUAUUGAACCAAAAUACCUUUAACCAGAAAGACCUUCAACUACUUUAACGUUAAUCUUACACAAGAGCUCUAUAGGAAAGAUUAAAAGGGAGGGAAGGAACUCGGCAACCCAAGGGCCCCGCCUGUUUACCAAAAACACCGCCUCCUGUUGACCACACAUAUGAGGUCCCGCCUGCCCCGUGACUUAUAGUUUAACGGCCGCGGUAUUUUGACCGUGCAAAGGUAGCGCAAUCACUUGUCUUUUAAAUAAAGACCUGUAUGAAUGGCACGACGAAGGCCCAACUGUCUCCCCUCCCCAAUCAAUGAAACUGAUUUGCCCGUGCAGAAGCGGGCAUGACCACAUAAGACGAGAAGACCCUGUGGAGCUUUAGAUUUUAGACAACUCAUUAACCAAGUUUUUAAUUUUAAUAACAGCUAAUUAAAUGAUUCUUGUUUAUAAUCUUUGGUUGGGGCGACCACGGGGCAACAAAAAGCCCCCGAGCGGAAUUGGAACCGUUUUCCCUAAUAAUUAAGAGUUACCACUCAAACAAGCAGAACAUCUGACCCUAUGAUCCGGCAAUGCCGAUUAACGAACCUAGUUACCCCAGGGAUAACAGCGCAAUCCUCUUUCAGAGCCCUUAUCGACAAGAGGGUUUACGACCUCGAUGUUGGAUCAGGACUUCCUAACGGCGCAGCCGCUGUUAAGGGUUC